UACAGAGGGUGCAAGCGUUGUUCGGAAUUAUUGGGCGUAAAGGGCGCGUAGGCGGUGCCACAAGUCACCUGUGAAAUCUCCGGGCUUAACCCGGAACGGUCAGAUGAUACUGCUUUGCUAGAGUGCGGAAGGGGCAAUCGGAAUUCUUGGUGUAGCGGUGAAAUGCGUAGAUAUCAAGAGGAACACCUGAGGUGAAGACGGGUUGCUGGGCCGACACUGACGCUGAUAGCGCGAAAGCCAGGGGAGCAAACGGG
rnacentral:rRNA from 1 species